GCGGGCUGGUCCCGGUCCGUGAGGAGAGUGCGGGGGAUCGGGGCCUGUUCCUUUACACGGAGCCUGGCGCCGGGGCCGUCACCCCGCUGAGGGUGACGGGCGAGCUCUGGGCAGAGCCGCCCCGCAGCCUGCGUUCGCGCCCCGGUUGGAGGAGACCCUCGCUGGGACAUCGGCCGCUGCCGGGUGACGGCCCAGCCCGGUGGGCAGCGGGUGUCCGGAGCGCCGGGAUGCAGAAGAUGCAAUAUUGUCUCACAUGGAAUGCUACAAGUGGCUUCAGAAAUGAGGGCUGCGCCUAUUCAGUACGAUCUCCAACUUAGUUCUGCCUCCACUCUGCUCUAUUUCAUAUGGAUUUUCAUGCCGGAAUUUGCAAGUACAGCUAAGAGAGGAAUAUAUGAAAUCCACCAGAGCUGAACUGCAGUAGAACAGGAAAGCUACAGUUUUGCCUCUUGAAGCACAGGCACAAAAGACACACUGUGAGAUGGAGUAACAUAAAAAUACUGUCAUGCCUGUUACUGCAGUGGGAACUCCAGAAGUUGAGGAGCUGCAGAAAGAGGAUGUACAAUUUUAGGAGGCUGCUCCAGUGUAAGACACAUCUGGCAAAAAGGACGGAGACUGCAUGGGUCAAAGAGUUCCAAUUCCAACCUUUUAUGCUGGAGGUGAAAAAACUCUUAAGCUGCAGCGAGGAAUAUGGAUCAUGGAACACAAAACCACAAGCAACAGAAAAACUAAGAACACGUAUGUGCUUGACCUCAGCACUGCUGCCUGUAAGUCGUUCUUAAACCAACAAAAACAUUUCAGCGGCUGGAAAAGAUGAACAGGCCUGGUUGCCAAGUCAUGGCCCGAACUAUUCCAGGGGGCAGAAAAGACAGCUGGACUGCUGGUAAAGAACAAGGCUAUUUAAGGAGACUCAUUCUGGCCUAAUGGAAAAUGCAAGGAUAUAAUUAUCAAUUAUUUUAAACUAAAACAACAUUUCAGAUCCAGGAAAAAGAACAUCACAAGGAAGCACAAGAGACGAGCUGGUUAGAUUCAGUUAGCAGCUCAAUCCAGGUACAAAAAGAGCAGAAUGUGCUGCUCUUUAGAAGCAAGAAAAUGAGAUGUUUUCCACAAGAAGGUGAUUCUGGACAGUGCAUCAACCUACAAAGCAAGCUCUGAAUAUAGCUGCAGUGUUGUUCCAAGCACUGACACAAAGCUGAUCUGAUCACAGGGGGCUUGGGUUAUCACAAGCCAACCCCAAAAGUGGUCAGUGGAACACAGCUACAGAAAUUAUUUUUAAAUAUAUGUAUUGCUGUAUGUUUAUAUCUCCGAGUCAUACUGAUGAUCUGCUUUCUCUUUCAGCCCCCUGGGCAGCUGCUUCUUGUGUACUGCAAGUGCUCCAUAUUAAGAAUUCCUAUGCCGAAUCCUGGCUGUCACCCAGAAUGCACAAACACAGAGCAAACACACAAAGCCAAAUAAACAACACUCUUAGAGUCUCUGUGA